rnacentral:ncRNA from 1 species
CCGUAGAGUCGGGGGAGCUUAGAGAACUAGGCUGAGAAUAUUCUUGAUACUAGAAUAGACCAUACCUGAUCUGGAUAAUGCCAGCGUAGGAUGAAAAAAUAUCUUUUAA